UAGGGAAUAUUGGGCAAUGGGGGAAACCCUGACGCAGCAACGCCGCGUGAAGGAUGAAGGCUUUCGGGUUGUAAACUUCUUUGAUGAGGGACGAAAGAAAUGACGGUACCUCAAAAACAAGCCACGGCUAACUACGUGCCAGCAGCCGCGGUAAUACGUAGGCAGCGAGCGUUGUUCGGAGUUACUGGGCGUAAAGAGUGCGUAGGCGGCGAGCCAAGUUUGGUGUGAAAUCUCCCGGCUUAACCGGGAGGGUGCGCCGAAAACUGGUUGGCUGGAGUAUGGGAGAGGAAAGCGGAAUUCCUGGUGUAGCGGUGAAAUGCAUAGAUAUCAGGAGGAACACCUGCGGUGUAGACAGCUUUCUGGACCAAAACUGACGCUGAGGCACGAAAGCGUGGGUAGCAAACA
rnacentral:rRNA from 1 species